rnacentral:rRNA from 1 species
AGAGUUUGAUCAUGGCUCAGAUUGAACGCUGGCGGCAGGCCUAACACAUGCAAGUCGAGCGGUAGCACAGAGAGCUUGCUCUCGGGUGACGAGCGGCGGACGGGUGAGUAAUGUCUGGGAAACUGCCUGAUGGAGGGGGAUAACUACUGGAAACGGUAGCUAAUACCGCAUAACGUCGCAAGACCAAAGUGGGGGACCUUCGGGCCUCAUGCCAUCAGAUGUGCCCAGAUGGGAUUAGCUAGUAGGUGGGGUAACGGCUCACCUAGGCGACGAUCCCUAGCUGGUCUGAGAGGAUGACCAGCCACACUGGAACUGAGACACGGUCCAGACUCCUACGGGAGGCAGCAGUGGGGAAUAUUGCACAAUGGGCGCAAGCCUGAUGCAGCCAUGCCGCGUGUGUGAAGAAGGCCUUCGGGUUGUAAAGCACUUUCAGCGGGGAGGAAGGCGAUAAGGUUAAUAACCUUGUCGAUUGACGUUACCCGCAGAAGAAGCACCGGCUAACUCCGUGCCAGCAGCCGCGGUAAUACGGAGGGUGCAAGCGUUAAUCGGAAUUACUGGGCGUAAAGCGCACGCAGGCGGUCUGUCAAGUCGGAUGUGAAAUCCCCGGGCUCAACCUGGGAACUGCAUUCGAAACUGGCAGGCUAGAGUCUUGUAGAGGGGGGUAGAAUUCCAGGUGUAGCGGUGAAAUGCGUAGAGAUCUGGAGGAAUACCGGUGGCGAAGGCGGCCCCCUGGACAAAGACUGACGCUCAGGUGCGAAAGCGUGGGGAGCAAACAGGAUUAGAUACCCUGGUAGUCCACGCCGUAAACGAUGUCGAUUUGGAGGUUGUGCCCUUGAGGCGUGGCUUCCGGAGCUAACGCGUUAAAUCGACCGCCUGGGGAGUACGGCCGCAAGGUUAAAACUCAAAUGAAUUGACGGGGGCCCGCACAAGCGGUGGAGCAUGUGGUUUAAUUCGAUGCAACGCGAAGAACCUUACCUGGUCUUGACAUCCACAGAACUUAGCAGAGAUGCUUUGGUGCCUUCGGGAACUGUGAGACAGGUGCUGCAUGGCUGUCGUCAGCUCGUGUUGUGAAAUGUUGGGUUAAGUCCCGCAACGAGCGCAACCCUUAUCCUUUGUUGCCAGCGGUUAGGCCGGGAACUCAAAGGAGACUGCCAGUGAUAAACUGGAGGAAGGUGGGGAUGACGUCAAGUCAUCAUGGCCCUUACGACCAGGGCUACACACGUGCUACAAUGGCAUAUACAAAGAGAAGCGACCUCGCGAGAGCAAGCGGACCUCAUAAAGUAUGUCGUAGUCCGGAUUGGAGUCUGCAACUCGACUCCAUGAAGUCGGAAUCGCUAGUAAUCGUAGAUCAGAAUGCUACGGUGAAUACGUUCCCGGGCCUUGUACACACCGCCCCGUCACACCAUGGGAGUGGGUUGCAAAAGAAGUAGGUAGCUUAACCUUCGGGAGGGCGCUUACCACUUUGUGAUUCAUGACUGGGGUGAAGUCGUAACAAGGUAACCGUAGGGGAACCUGCGGUUGGAUCACCU